rnacentral:sRNA from 1 species
UCCCUCAACCUACUUAUAGACUAUUUUUCUUGCUCUGCAGCAUGGACCAAAGAGAAAUUCUGCAGAAGUUCCUGGAUGAGGCCCAAAGCAAGAAAAUUACUAAAGAGGAGUUUGCCAAUGAAUUUCUGAAGCUGAAAAGGCAAUCUACCAAGUACAAGGCAGACAAAACCUAUCCUACAACUGUGGCUGAGAAGCCCAAGAAUAUCAAGAAAAACAGAUAUAAGGAUAUUUUGCCCUAUGAUUAUAGCCGGGUAGAACUAUCCCUGAUAACCUCUGAUGAGGAUUCCAGCUACAUCAAUGCCAACUUCAUUAAGGGAGUUUAUGGACCCAAGGCUUAUAUUGCCACCCAGGGUCCUUUAUCUACAACCCUCCUGGACUUCUGGAGGAUGAUUUGGGAAUAUAGUGUCCUUAUCAUUGUUAUGGCAUGCAUGGAGUAUGAAAUGGGAAAGAAAAAGUGUGAGCGCUACUGGGCUGAGCCAGGAGAGAUGCAGCUGGAAUUUGGCCCUUUCUCUGUAUCCUGUGAAGCUGAAAAAAGGAAAUCUGAUUAUAUAAUCAGGACUCUAAAAGUUAAGUUCAAUAGUGAAACUCGAACUAUCUACCAGUUUCAUUACAAGAAUUGGCCAGACCAUGAUGUACCUUCAUCUAUAGACCCUAUUCUUGAGCUCAUCUGGGAUGUACGUUGUUACCAAGAGGAUGACAGUGUUCCCAUAUGCAUUCACUGCAGUGCUGGCUGUGGAAGGACUGGUGUUAUUUGUGCUAUUGAUUAUACAUGGAUGUUGCUAAAAGAUGGGAUAAUUCCUGAGAACUUCAGUGUUUUCAGUUUGAUCCAGGAAAUGCGGACACAGAGGCCUUCAUUAGUUCAAACGCAGGAACAAUAUGAACUGGUCUACAAUGCUGUAUUAGAACUAUUUAAGAGACAGAUGGAUGUUAUCAGAGAUAAACAUUCUGGAACAGAGAGUCAAGCAAAGCAUUGUAUUCCUGAGAAAAAUCACACUCUCCAAGCAGACUCUUAUUCUCCUAAUUUACCAAAAAGUACCACAAAAGCAGCAAAAAUGAUGAACCAACAAAGGACAAAAAUGGAAAUCAAAGAAUCUUCCUCCUUUGACUUUAGGACUUCUGAAAUAAGUGCAAAAGAAGAGCUAGUUUUGCACCCUGCUAAAUCAAGCACUUCUUUUGACUUUCUGGAGCUAAAUUACAGUUUUGACAAAAAUGCUGACACAACCAUGAAAUGGCAGACAAAGGCAUUUCCAAUAGUUGGGGAGCCUCUUCAGAAGCAUCAAAGUUUGGAUUUGGGCUCUCUUUUGUUUGAGGGAUGUUCUAAUUCUAAACCUGUAAAUGCAGCAGGAAGAUAUUUUAAUUCAAAGGUGCCAAUAACACGGACCAAAUCAACUCCUUUUGAAUUGAUACAGCAGAGAGAAACCAAGGAGGUGGACAGCAAGGAAAACUUUUCUUAUUUGGAAUCUCAACCACAUGAUUCUUGUUUUGUAGAGAUGCAGGCUCAAAAAGUAAUGCAUGUUUCUUCAGCAGAACUGAAUUAUUCACUGCCGUAUGACUCUAAACACCAAAUACGUAAUGCCUCUAAUGUAAAGCACCAUGACUCUAGUGCUCUUGGUGUAUAUUCUUACAUACCUUUAGUGGAAAAUCCUUAUUUUUCAUCAUGGCCUCCAAGUGGUACCAGUUCUAAGAUGUCUCUUGAUUUACCUGAGAAGCAAGAUGGAACUGUUUUUCCUUCUUCUCUGUUGCCAACAUCCUCUACAUCCCUCUUCUCUUAUUACAAUUCAAAUGAUUCUUUAUCACUGAAUUCUCCAACCAAUAUUUCCUCACUAUUGAACCAGGAGUCAGCUGUACUAGCAACUGCUCCAAGGAUAGAUGAUGAAAUCCCCCCUCCACUUCCUGUACGGACACCUGAAUCAUUUAUUGUGGUUGAGGAAGCUGGAGAAUUCUCACCAAAUGUUCCCAAAUCCUUAUCCUCAGCUGUGAAGGUAAAAAUUGGAACAUCACUGGAAUGGGGUGGAACAUCUGAACCAAAGAAAUUUGAUGACUCUGUGAGACUUAGACCAAGCAAGAGUGUAAAACUCCGAAGUCCUAAAUCAGGUAAAAAUUUCUCUUGGCUUUAGAUGACAUUUAGCCCUAAGAUUGGAAGAAUGGUUCGUUAAGUUUAGAGUAAUUCACUUCAGGAAGUUACUUGGUUCCCAUAAUAGCUUCCAGUAUUCAUUGAUUUAUUUCUGGCUUUCCCAGACUAGAAAUUUUGUAAAGAG